rnacentral:rRNA from 1 species
UACGUAGGGGGCAAGCGUUGUCCGGACUUACUGGGCGUAAAGCGCGUGCAGGCGGAUUGGUAUGUGCCGUGUGAAAGCUCUCAGCUUGCCUGGGAGAGGUCGCGGUAGACAGCCGAUCUGGAGGCUCGGAGAGGUCAGUGGAAUUCCCGGUGUAGUGGUGAAAUGCGUAGAAUAUCGGGAGGAACACCAGUGGCGCAAGCGG